GACGAACGCUGGCGGCGUGCUUAACACAUGCAAGUCGAACGGAAAGGCCGUGUUUUUGUGGGGUGCUCGAGUGGCGAACGGGUGUGUAACGCGUGAGUCACGUGCCCUAGCUUUUGGGAUAACUUCAGGAAACUGGGGAUAAUACCGUAUAGUGACACCAGCUGCACGGUGGGUGUUGAAAGGUUUCGGCGGUUGGGGAUGGCCUUGCGUCCUAUCAGCUUGUUGGUGGGGUAGCGGCUUACCAAGGCUUUGACGGGUAGCCGGCCUGAGAGGGUGACCGGCCAAAUAGGGAAUGAGGUCCGGCCCCGACUCCUUCGGGAGGGAGCCGUUGGGAAUAAUGCAAAAUGGGAGGAAGCCUGAGGCAGCAACGCCGCGUGCGGGAUGUCGGCCUUCGGGUUGUAAACCGUGUUCGCCGGUGACGAAGCGUGAGUGACGGUAAUGGGUAAAGAAGCAACGGCUAAAUACGUG
rnacentral:rRNA from 1 species